GAGUUUGAUCCUGGCUCAGGAUGAACGCUGACAGAAUGCUUAACACAUGCAAGUCGAUGGGGAAGCGGCGCUUGCGCCGUGGCAACCAUGGCGGACGGGUGAGUAACGCGUAAAGAACUUGCCGGAUGGACCGGGAUAACAGCUGGAAACGGCUGGCAAGACCGGAUACUAUGGGCUGGCCGCAUGGCUGGCCCAUGAAAAGGGAUGCCGUCCGAGAGCUUUGCGUCCUAUUAGCUGGUUGGUAAGGUGACGGCUUACCAAGGCGAUGAUAGGUAGCCGGCCUGAGAGGGUGGACGGCCACAAGGGGACUGAGAUACGGCCCUUACUCCUACGGGAGGCAGCAGUGGGGAAUAUUGGACAAUGGGGGCAACCCUGAUCCAGCAAUUCUGUGUGCACGAAGAAGGUUUUCGGAUCGUAAAGUGCUUUCAGCAGGGAGGAAGGAAGUGACUGUACCUGCAGAAGAAGCGACGGCUAAAUACGUGCCAGCAGCCGCGGUAAUACGUAUGUCGCGAGCGUUAUCCGGAAUUAUUGGGCAUAAAGGGCAUCUAGGCGGCCGGGUAAGUCCGGGGUGAAAACUGCUGGCUCAACCAGCAGCCUGCCUUGGAAACUACCUGGCUUGAGUGCUGGAGAGGUGGACGGAACUGCACGAGUAGAGGUGAAAUUCGUAGAUAUGUGCAGGAAUGCCGAUGAUGAAGAUAGUUCACUGGACGGCAACUGACGCUGAAGUGCGAAAGCUAGGGGAGCGAACAGGAUUAGAUACCCUGGUAGUCCUAGCUGUAAACGAUGAUUACUGGGUGUGGGCAUGAAGAGUGUCCGUGCCGAAGCUAAUGCGAUAAGUAAUCCGCCUGGGGAGUACGGCCGCAAGGCUGAAACUCAAAGGAAUUGACGGGGACCCGCACAAGCGGUGGAGCAUGU
rnacentral:rRNA from 1 species